rnacentral:rRNA from 1 species
AUUUGGCGGACGGGUGAGUAACACGUGGGUGAUCUGCCCUGCACUCUGGGAUAAGCCUGGGAAACUGGGUCUAAUACCGGAUAUGACCUGCUCUCGCAUGGGGGUGGGUGGAAAGAUUUAUCGGUGCAGGAUGGGCCCGCGGCCUAUCAGCUUGUUGGUGGGUAAUGGCCUACCAAGGCGACGACGGGUAGCCGACCUGAGAGGGUGACCGGCCACACUGGGACUGAGACACGGCCCAGACUCCUACGGGAGGCAGCAGUGGGGAAUAUUGCACAAUGGGCGAAAGCCUGAUGCAGCGACGCCGCGUGAGGGAUGAAGGCCUUCGGGUUGUAAACCUCUUUCAGCAGGGACGAAGCGCAAGUGACGGUACCUGCAGAAGAAGCACCGGCUAACUACGUGCCAGCAGCCGCGGUAAUA